GCAUCGGUGGCUUAGUGGUAGAAUGCUCGCCUGCCACGCGGGCAGCCCAGGUUCGAUUCCCGGCCGAUGCA
rnacentral:tRNA from 1 species